CCUACGGGAGGCAGCAGUGAGGAAUAUUGGUCAAUGGGCGCGAGCCUGAACCAGCCAAGUAGCGUGAAGGAUGACUGCCCUACGGGUUGUAAACCUCUUUUGCCGGGGAGCAACGGGCGCCACGUGUGGCGCCACUGCGAGUACCCGGAGAAAAAGCAUCGGCUAACUCCGUGCCAGCAGCCGCGGUAAUACGGAAGAUGCGAGCGUUAUCCGGAUGUAUUGGGUUAAAGGGGUGCGUAGGCGGUGCGUUAAGUCAGUGGUCAAAUUGAGGGGCUCAACCCCUUCCCGCCAUUGAAACUGGCGCUCUUGAGUGGAAGAGAAGUAUGCGGAAUGCGUGGUGUAGCGGUGAAAUGCAUAGAUAUCACGCAGAACCCCGAUUGCGAAGGCAGCAUGCCGGCUUCCGACUGACGCUGAAGCACGAAAGCGUGGGGAUCGAACAGGAUUAGAUACCCGGGUAGUC
rnacentral:rRNA from 1 species